UACAGAGGUCUCAAGCGUUGUUCGGAUUCAUUGGGCGUAAAGGGUGCGUAGGUGGCGCUGUAAGUCGGGUGUGAAAUUUCGGAGCUUAACUCCGAAACUGCAUUCGAUACUGCGGUGCUUGAGGACUGGAGAGGAGACUGGAAUUCAUGGUGUAGCAGUGAAAUGCGCAGAUAUCAGGAGGAACACCGGUGGCGAAGGCGGGUCUCUGGACAGUUCCUGACGCUGAGGCACGAAGGCCAGGGGAGCAAACGGG
rnacentral:rRNA from 1 species